GCGGAUAUGGCGGAAUUGGCAGACGCGCUAGAUUUAGGUUCUAGUGGGAGACCGUGCAGGUUCAAGUCCUGUUAUCCGCACGA
rnacentral:tRNA from 1 species